rnacentral:rRNA from 1 species
AUUGAACGCUGGCGGCAUGCUUUACACAUGCAAGUCGAACGGCAGCGCGGGGCAACCUGGCGGCGAGUGGCGAACGGGUGAGUAAUAUAUCGGAACGUACCCAAGAGUGGGGGAUAACGUAGCGAAAGUUACGCUAAUACCGCAUACGAUCUAAGGAUGAAAGUGGGGGAUCGCAAGACCUCAUGCUCCUGGAGCGGCCGAUAUCUGAUUAGCUAGUUGGUGAGGUAAAGGCUCACCAAGGCGACGAUCAGUAGCUGGUCUGAGAGGACGACCAGCCACAGGGAAAGGGAGACGGGCCCGAGACCCACGGGGGGGGACGGUGGGGGAUAUUGGGAAAAGGGGGGAAAACCCAGACCAAAAAAUCCCGGGUGGGAGAAGAGGCCUUGGGGUUUGAAAACCUCUUUUGAGGGGAAAAAAAGGGUGGAGGUAAAUACCCUUGGCAAAGGGGGGCCCAAAAAGAAAACCACCGGUCAAACCCCG